rfam:Elusimicrobia bacterium RIFOXYB2_FTLL_50_12 rifoxyb2_full_scaffold_1527, whole genome shotgun sequence.
GCGGGCGUAGUUCAGUGGUAGAACGUCUCGUUGCCAACGAGAAGGUCGUGGGUUCAAGUCCCAUCGCCCGCU